CCUACGGGCGGCUGCAGUGGGGAAUAUUGCACAAUGGGCGCAAGCCUGAUGCAGCCAUGCCGCGUGUGUGAAGAAGGCCUUCGGGUUGUAAAGCACUUUCAGCGGGGAGGAAGGCGUUAAGGUUAAUAACCUUGUCGAUUGACGUUACCCGCAGAAGAAGCACCGGCUAACUCCGUGCCAGCAGCCGCGGUAAUACGGAGGGUGCAAGCGUUAAUCGGAAUUACUGGGCGUAAAGCGCACGCAGGCGGUCUGUCAAGUCGGAUGUGAAAUCCCCGGGCUCAACCUGGGAACGGCAUUCGAAACUGGCAGGCUAGAGUCUUGUAGAGGGGGGUAGAAUUCCAGGUGUAGCGGUGAAACGCGUAGAGAUCUGGAGGAAUACCGGUGGCGAAGGCGGCCCCCUGGACAAAGACUGACGCUCAGGUGCGAAAGCGUGGGGAGCAAACAGGAUUAGAUACCCUUGUAGUC
rnacentral:rRNA from 1 species